rnacentral:tRNA from 1 species
UGCCAGGAGCCCCACCGGGCGUGGGGGCCCGCCUGUUAAGCGGGACGUGGUGAGUUCGAGCCUCACCCUGGCAGCCA